GUCAAUGUCUGUAAUAUUUUUCAAUAAAUGAUUAAACAUCUGAAUGUCGUUUUUAGUUUUUUACAUUGGCGUCACACUAUCUUCCUGGCGAUAAUAUCUUCCUCGGACUCAAGGCGUUUAGAGAUUCGAGUGUCAAUUUUGUAGUAGCACUCAUAAAAAUGGCGACAACCCUAUGAACAUUUUUGCCGCUGUGAUUUACAUUAAUAUGCAAUUUUUCAUGCUGGGAUCGAGACUUGAAACUGAUGUGUGGUUGUGUAUGUGCACUGAAAGGAUCAAGUUUUGGUGGAUGAUGAGCUCCUCGAUGGCCAUUUAGCGUCCUGGCACGCGUUGAGCCUUAUUAAAACUGUGGCGUUGACUGCAGUCCGGUUUCAUAUCCUUGUUAACUGGCAACUGGUUUCCAGUUGAGGUGAUUUGCAUUUGCAAUAACAUUUUCCUACCCGACAAGCGCCUGCAAAAUGUUAAUUUAGUGUGCGAUGCGUUACGAUGCUAUGUGAUGCGAUGCCGUGCGUUGACGUCGACAACGACAUCGAGAUGGACAUCAACAUCGACGACUUUAUGCAGAUAUAUCAGUCACUCAACGGACUACUGCCAAAGUCCAAGACGUUGCUGAGCUGCUUGUCAUAAAGCGCUCAGCGGUUGGCUUGACAUUUCAAUUUGCAAGAAGACGAGGACCGCAGACAUGGCUAAAAGACAGGACAGCCAGGAGCAGCAACAUUCAAGACAUUCAAGACAUGCAAAUAUGCAAAUCAAUUCGCUGACAAUUUUCAGCCAAAUCAAAUAUGCAAUUGAGCUGAGAACCUCGCUGUGUCUACCCCCUCUUUCACACUGUUAUUGCCUCUCCCUCUAGCGUUCUCUCACGAACUUCGUUAAUUUAUAUUUGCCGCGUGCCGCACACACAAAUAAUCCAAAAAUCGCUUCAGGCAACGGCGCUGCUAGCAACAAGCAAUUACAGAAAGUUACUGUAAUCCUGGAAAAAGUCCUAGUACUGGUCCUGCUCCUGCUCUUGCUCUUGCUGCUGCUCCUGCGUCUGUUUCUGCGCCUGCUGCCUGUCAUAGUUACAAGCGCUAAGCCGCUUAGCGUUGUUGACUUUCACAUGGGCAACACUUAGGGGUUGAUUUCCCUUCGUUCUCGUGUGCUUGUCCUGAUCCUUGCCUCCGUCACUGUGUGCGUGUAUGUGUGUGUAUUUGUUGUUUUGUGCCUCGCUUUUUGAUGUGUGAUUAGCCUAUUAGCCAAACAACACAAAAAAAAAUCAUCCUCAAUGGCAAAUUCAUGAUGAUGAGAAACGUAAAUAUUGAAUGUGAUGAGCGGCAGCUUGGACUAGGCACAGAAUCAGGGCCAAUAAAUGUAAAUGUCCGCAAGGCGUUACUUAUUAUGUCAGAACGAUUAAAGUCAGCGUGGGAUAAGUUGGAUCCAUCAAGCUAAGUCUGAAGAGUUGGCUAGGGAUUAGAAAGCAUACAUACCCAGGGAUUUUUAUAUAAA